rnacentral:lncRNA from 14 species
CUUAAACAACAAUGGGUAUUUGAGCUUUUAUUUUGCAGAAUUCUGGGUCAUCAAAGAAUUUUGACUGACGGCUCCAACAAACCUACACGAUAUUGAUGUGUUCGCUCACAGUUCUUUAUCUAAGAAUGCCA